rnacentral:rRNA from 1 species
GCAUAUCAAUAAGCGGAGGAAAAAGAAACCAACAGGGGAUUGCCCCAGUAACGGCGAAGUGAAGCGGCAACAGCUCAAAUUUGAAAUCUGGCCCCCAGGGCCCGAGUUGUAAUUUGUAGAAGGAUGCUUUUGGCGCGGUGCCUUCCGAGUUCCCUGGAACGGGACGCCAUAGAGGGUGAGAGCCCCGUCUGGUUGGACACCUAGCCUCUGUAAAGCUCCUUCGACGAGUCGAGUAGUUUGGGAAUGCUGCUCUAAAUGGGAGGUAUAUGUCUUCUAAAGCUAAAUACCGGCCAGAGACCGAUAGCGCACAAGUAGAGUGAUCGAAAGAUGAAAAGCACUUUGAAAAGAGGGUUAAAUAGUACGUGAAAUUGUUGAAAGGGAAGCGUUUGUGACCAGACUUGGGCCCGGUUGAUCAUCCACCGUUCUCGGUGGUGCACUCUGCCGGCCCAGGCCAGCAUCAGUUCGCGCCGGGGGAUAAAGGCUUCGGGAAUGUGGCUCCUCCGGGAGUGUUAUAGCCCGUUGUGUAAUACCCUGGUGCGGACUGAGGUUCGCGCUCCGCAAGGAUGCUGGCGUAAUGGUCAUCAGCGACCCGUCUUGAAACACGGACCAAGGAGUCGUCUUCGUAUGCGAGUGUUCGGGUGUCAAACCCCUACGCGUAAUGAAAGUGAACGCAGGUGAGAGCUUCGGCGCAUCAUCGACCGAUCCUGAUGUUCUCGGAUGGAUUUGAGUAAGAGCAUACGGGGCCGGACCCGAAAGAAGGUGAACUAUGCCUGUAUAGGGUGAAGCCAGAGGAAACUCUGGUGGAGGCUCGCAGCGGUUCUGACGUGCAAAUCGAUCGUCAAAUAUGGGGCAUGGGGGCGAAAGACUAAUCGAACCUUUCUAGUAGCUGGGUUUCCGCGA